GGCGCGAAACUUGUAUAGCGCCAUCUGCGGCGUUAAGAAAAUUUGUGCAACAGAAAGCCUAGUCAAAGGCAUCAGACUUGAUGUUUGUUACCAUAGAAUUCAUGACUUUGCUCCGGAUGAACAAAUAGUUGGUAAGCUACGAUACAUGAUUACUGUAGAUAACUGAUUUACUGUCAAAUAUAUGAAACUAGUUGUUUCAUACUAUUGUUCAUUUCCUGUGAAUUAUGUGCAAAUAGUGAGUUGAUUUUGGAUGAUUAACGCAACGUUAUGUACAGAAGCCUAUGUGUUGCUAUGGGGCUAUGAAACGCAUUGCACCCAGGUAUGUGUCGUGCAUAAAGGGGUUUAUUCAUAUAAACAAGCUCUAAGAUGGUGCAUGAUUUAAUUAGUAUAUAUGUUAUAAUGACUUGCACAGCUUGUAAGAGUUAAAAGAGGUUAAUUACCAUUAUAAGGAGUGUGUAGAACCGUUUCUGAGGGAAUAUUAUUGAUGUCAGUUGUAUAGGGUCUGGAAUCACAUAGACUACUUUGUAAUUGCUUAGUUAAGGGGGCAUUAUGAAGCCGUAUCUGUAGAACACCGUGCAUUUACAGGCACAUUCUAAGCACAGGAAUUUAUGAAGAUAUAUAUAUCAAACAGAGACAUAAAUGAAUAUACUGUAUAGCUGGAUAGUUACAUUCCUUUUGGAGUUUAUUUCGUAUAUAAACAUCACGUUUAUAUGUCAAGAGUAUUUACAAGAUUCACUGUAAUGUAGACAGGGUUACAUGCAUUUAAUUCUGUUUAUAUGAUGCAUAUGUUUAUAAUGCUUUGUUACUUUGUUGUUUACAGUGAACCGCUAAUUGGAUUGCUGAAGAUGAUGAUUCGCUAAUUGGAUUGCUGAAUCGCUAAAUGAAGAUGACUUGUUACGAAAAGAACAUAAAUAAAGAGAAAUAAGAACUCAACAAGUCGUUUGCAACGUUUCCUUUAUUGGCGCGUUCACACAAAAGUUCACAACUUGUUCUAGAUGUCGGAGAAGGUCCAAGCAAGCAACCAGCAUGAGGGGUCGGAAGCUGGAGAGCCAAAGAACGGCGUUGACGGGGAUGCAACGGCAAGGAGUGAAACCAGAGCAUCCAGGGACGCUGAAGUGAAAUCGAUGGCCUCCAGGGCGAGCAUCUCCUCAAGCGUGAAGAUGAGAGAAGCCGAGGUGAAGCGACAGCUUGCUAGGAUGAAGUGAACCGCUAAUUGGAUUGCUGAAGAUGAUGAUUCGCUAAUUGGAUUGCUGAAUCGCUAAAUGAAGAUGACUUGUUACGAAAAGAACAUAAAUAAAGAGAAAUAAGAACUCAA